rnacentral:rRNA from 1 species
GACGUAGGGAGCGAGCGUUGUCCGGAUUCAUUGGGCGUAAAGAGCGCGCAGGCGGUUUGGUAAGUCGGAUGUGAAAACCCGGGGCUCAACCCCGGGCGUGCAUCUGAUACUGCCCGACUAGAGGUAGGUAGGGGAGAUCGGAAUUCCUGGUGUAGCGGUGAAAUGCGCAGAUAUCAGGAGGAACACCGGUGGCGAAGGCGCUCAUCUGGCCCAAUACUGACGCUGAAGCUCGAAAGCUAGGGGAGCAAACGGG